rnacentral:rRNA from 1 species
AGUGAACGCUGGCGGUAGGCCUGACACAUGCAAGUCGAACGGCAGCACAGUAAGAGCUUGCUCUUACGGGUGGCGAGUGGCGGACGGGUGAGGAAUACAUCGGAAUCUACUUUUUCGUGGGGGAUAACGUAGGGAAACUUACGCUAAUACCGCAUACGACCUACGGGUGAAAGCAGGGGAUCUUCGGACCUUGCGCGAUUGAAUGAGCCGAUGUCGGAUUAGCUAGUUGGCGGGGUAAAGGCCCACCAAGGCGACGAUCCGUAGCUGGUCUGAGAGGAUGAUCAGCCACACUGGAACUGAGACACGGUCCAGACUCCUACGGGAGGCAGCAGUGGGGAAUAUUGGACAAAGGGCGCAAGCCUGAUCCAGCCAUACCGCGUGGGUGAAGAAGGCCUUCGGGUUGUAAAGCCCUUUUGUUGGGAAAGAAAAGCAGCAGGUUAAUACCCCGCUGUUCUGACGGUACCCAAAGAAUAAGCACCGGCUAACUUCGUG